rnacentral:rRNA from 1 species
CAGUAGCCGCGGUAAAACGGAGGGCGCGAGCGUUACCCGGAUUUACUGGGCGUAAAGGGCGUGUAGGCGGCCUGGGGCGUCCCAUGUGAAAGGCCACGGCUCAACCGUGGAGGAGCGUGGGAUACGCUCAGGCUAGAGGGUGGGAGAGGGUGGUGGAAUUCCCGGAGUAGCGGUGAAAUGCGCAGAUACCGGGAGGAACGCCGAUGGCGAAGGCAGCCACCUGGUCCACUUCUGACGCUGAGGCGCGAAAGCGUGGGGAGCAAACCGGAUUAGAUACCCGCGUAGUCCCUGUCUCUUAUAC